rnacentral:rRNA from 1 species
AGAGUUUGAUCAUGGCUCAGGAUCAACGCUGGCGGCGUGCCUAACGCAUGUAAGUCGAACGCAGUGUCUUCGGACAUUGAGUGGCGAACGGCUGAGGAACACGUACGAACCUGCCUGUUUGUGGGGAAUAACGCGCCGAAAGGCGUGCUAAUACCGCGUACGCUCAUCCUUUGGAUGAGGAAAGCCUUCGGGCGCAGACAGCGGGGCGUGCGGCCCAUCAGGUCGUUGGUGGGGUAAUGGCCUACCAAGCCUUUGACGGGUAGCUGGUCUGUGAGGACGAUCAGCCAGACUGGGACUGCGACACGGCCCAGACACCUACGGGUGGCAGCAGCGAGGAAUCUUCCACAAUGGGCGCAAGCCCGAUGGAGCAACGCCGCGUGGAGGAUGACGGCCUUCGGGUUGUAAACUCCUUUCGGGAGGGAUGAAACGGACAGUACCUCCAAAAGAAGCCCCGGCUAACUCUGUGCCAGCAGCCGCGGUAAUACAGGGGGGGGCAAGCGUUGUCCGGAAUUACUGGGCGUACAGCGCGCGCAGGCGGUCCACUACGUGCCGUGUGACAGCCGUCGGCUUAACCGACGGAGGCCAGGGUACACGGGUGAACUUGAGGCAGAGAGAGGGAUGUGGAAUACCCGGUGGAGCGGUGAAAUGCGUAGAGAUCGGGUGGAACACCAGGGGCGAAGGCGGCAUCCUGGCUCUGUACUGACGCUGAGGCGCGAGAGCGUGGGGAGCAAACCGGAUUAGAUACCCGGGUAGUCCACGCCGUAAACGAUGUGUACCCGGCGCUGGGACGUGAUUGCGCGUCUCGGUGCCCCAGCUUACGCGAUGAGUACACCGCCUGGGGACUACGGCCGCAAGGCUAAAACUCAAAGGAAUUGACGGGGGCCCGCACAAGCAGCGGAGCGUGUGGUUUAAUUCGACGCAACACGAAGAACCUUACCUAGAUUUGACAUGCACCUGCAAACGACAGAAAUGUCGUUGCCUUCGAGGGUGGUGCACCGGUGCUGCAUGGCUGUCGUCAGCUCGUGUCGUGAGAUGUUGGGUUAAGUCCCGCAAUGAGCGCAACCCUUGCCUGGUGUUACUUGUGUCACCAGGGACUGCCGUGGUCUAACCACGGAGGAAGGCGGGGAUGACGUCAAGUCCGCAUGGCCCGUACGUCUAGGGCUACACACACGCUACAAUGGUCGGAUGUAGUGCGUUGCGACCUGGCAACAGGCAGCGAAUCGCCAAGACCGGCCUCAGUGCAGAUUGGGGGCUGCAACUCGCCCCCAUGAAGGCGGAGUUGCUAGUAACCGCGUGUCAGCAAAGCGCGGUGAAUACGUACCCGGGCCUUGUACACACCGCCCGUCACGUCAUGGGAGUCGGGAACACCUGAAGUCCGUGGGCCGACCGCAAGUGAUUGUGGAGGCAGCGGCCGAAGGUGGGCCUGGCGACUGGGACGAAGUCGUAACAAGGUAACCGUACCGGAAGGUGCGGCUGGAUCACCUCCUU